rnacentral:rRNA from 1 species
AGAGUUUGAUCAUGGCUCAGGAUGAACGCUAGCGGAGCGCCUAACACAUGCAAGUCGAACGAACCUUGUUUCAAUCAAUUGAUCUCUUCGGAGUGAGAGCGUGCGAAACGCUGGUAAGUGGCAAACGGGCGAGUAACGCGUACCUAACCUACCCGAGAGACGAGAACAACUAUGGAGACAUAGCUAAUUCUCGAUACGCCCCUUUAUUAACUUAUUGGGGGAAAGAUUUAUCGCUCACGGAGGGGGGUGCGUCCUAUCAGGUAGUUGGUGAGGUAAUGGCUCACCAAGCCUAUGACGGGUAACCGGUCUGAGAGGAUGUCCGGUCGCAAUGGAACUGAGACACGGUCCAUACUCCUACGGGAGGCAGCAGUGGGGAAUCUUGGACAAUGGGGGAAACCCUGAUCCAGCGACUCCGCGUGAAGGAUGAAGCCUUAUGGGGUGUAAACUUCUUUUCUGGAGGAAGACGAAUGACGGUACUCCAGGAAUAAGGGACGGCUAACUACGUGCCAGCAGCCGCGGUAAUACGUAGGUCCCGAGCGUUAUCCGGAUUUACUGGGCGUAAAGCGUCUGUAGCCGGAUGGUUAAGUCUACUUUCAAAUAUCUCGACUCAAUCGAGAAGAGGGAGUAGAUACUGAUCAUCUAGAGUAUUUUGGAGGUUAGUGGAAUUUCCGGUGGAGCGGUGAAAUGCGUUGAUAUCGGAAGGAACGCCGAAAGCGAAAGCAGCUAACUAUGAAAUUACUGACGGUGAGAGACGAAAGCUUGGGUAGCAAACGGGAUUAGAUACCCCGGUAGUCCAAGCCGUAAAUGAUGCUCGCUAAGUGUUUGGUUCCAUCUGAGGACUGAGUGCUGUAACCUAACGGGUUAAGCGAGCCGCCUGGGUAGUAUAUUCGCAAGAAUGAAACUCAAAGGGAUAGGCGGGGGAACACACAAGCAGUGGAUGAUCUCGAUUAAUUGAAUAAUAAGCCAUGAAUCUUACCUAGGCUUGACAUAUACUUUGUCAUUAGUGAAAGCUAGUUAGUAUCGACUUGUCGAUACAGGGUAUACAGGUGGUGCAUGGUCGUCGUCAGCUCGUGCCGCAAGGUGUCCAGUUAAGUCUGGUAACGAGCGCAACCCUCGUGCUAUGUUAGGAUGUCAUAGCAGACUGCCCUGGUAACAGGGAGGAAGGAGAGGAUGACGUCAGAUCCUCAUGCCCCUUAUGCCUAGGGCUUCAUAGAUCAUACAAUGGGUAGUACAACGGGAAGCGAAGCCGCGAGGUGGAGCCAAACCUUCAAAACUACCCCAAGUUCGGAUUGCAGUCUGGAACUCGACUGCAUGAAGUCGGAAUUGCUAGUAAUGGCGAGUCAUCAAUAUCGCCGUGAAUAUGUCCCUGUUCCUUGCACUCACCGCCCGUCAAGACACGGGAGCU